GUGAGGAAUUUUCCGCAAUGGGCGAAAGCCUGACGGAGCAAUGCCGCGUGAAGGAUGAAGGCCUAUGGGUUGUAAACUUCUUUUCUCAGAAAAGAAUUAUGACGGUAUCUGAGGAAUAAGCAUCGGCUAACUCUGUGCCAGCAGCCGCGGUAAGACAGAGGAUGCAAGCGUUAUCCGGAAUGAUUGGGCGUAAAGCGUCUGUAGGUUGUUUAAAAAGUAUUCUGUCAAAGAUUAGGGCUUAACCCUAGAUAGGCAGAAUAAACUUUUAAGCUAGAGUUUGGUAGAGGCAGAGGGAAUUCCCGGUGGAGCGGUGAAAUGCGCAGAUAUCAGGAGGAACACCGAUGGCGAAGGCAGAUCUCUGGGCCGUAACUGACGCUGAGGAGCGAAAGCGUGGGGAGCGAACAGGAUUAGAAACCCUUGUAGUCC
rnacentral:rRNA from 1 species